UGAAUGCAAACAUUCUUCCUGUUAUUCAAGGAACUUUUCAAAGCUUUGAAGUAGUAAUAGGCAAAGAUAUUAUAGAUGUCACCUUGAUAGCAAGGAGGAGAUGAAGUUGAGGGAGAAGAUGUGAAACAGAUGAUGCAGUCUUUUAAUUCACAAAUCCUAGAAAAAGCCCAAAACACAUUUAUUUUGCAUUCAGUUUUGUAUGGUAGAGUACACAUCAGUAAAUCAAAUAUUUAGAUUACUUUACACUACUAUGGUUUAUGAUAAUUUGAAAUUAUAUGUACAUGCCACCUCUAUUAUUUACCUACAAUAUAUGACUUUCUGUAUGCAACUUUAAGAUUUGCGAGGGCAAGUAAUAAUUUGAGAUGCCGUUGAGAUGAACUAAUAUUUGUCAAGAAUUUAAC
rnacentral:lncRNA from 1 species